GGGUCCGCGUUUCAUUAGCUAGUUGGUAGGGUAAUGGCCUACCAAGGCAACGAUGAGUAGCUGGUCUGAGAGGAUGAUCAGCCACACUGGAACUGAAACACGGUCCAGACUCCUACGGGAGGCAGCAGUGGGGAAUAUUGCGCAAUGGGCGAAAGCCUGACGCAGCAACGCCGUGUGAGGGAUGAAGGCUUUCGGGUCGUAAACCUCUGUCGGAAGGGAAGAACGGGCAAGGGUCCAAUAGGCCCUUGUUUUGACGGUACCUUUAGAGGAAGCACCGGCUAACUCCGUGCCAGCAGCCGCGGUAAUACGGAGGGUGCAAGCGUUAUUCGGAAUUACUGGGCGUAAAGCGCACGUAGGCCGCUUUGUAAGUCAGGGGUGUAAUCCCACGGCUCAACCGUGGAACUGCCCUUGAAACUGCAGAGCUUGAAUCCUGGAGAGGGUGGCGGAAUUCCUGGUGUAGGAGUGAAAUCCGUAGAUAUCAGGAGGAACACCGGUGGCGAAGGCGGCCACCUGGACAGGUAUUGACGCUGAGGUGCGAAAGUGUGGGGAGCAAACAGGAUUAGAUACCCUGGUAGUCCACACCGUAAACGAUGGACACUAGAUGCCGGAG
rnacentral:rRNA from 1 species